rnacentral:rRNA from 1 species
AAACACAGCCAUAUCACCCUGUAGCCCAAGACUGGUUGCUCACUGAAGUUAAGCAGGGUUGAGCCUGGUCAGUACCUGGAUGGGAGACCUGAGAAAACUAGGUUGCUGC